rnacentral:rRNA from 1 species
UGGGGAAUAUUGCACAAUGGGGGAAACCCUGAUGCAGCGACGCCGCGUGAGCGAAGAAGUAUUUCGGUAUGUAAAGCUCUAUCAGCAGGGAAGAUGAUGACGGUACCUGACUAAGAAGCCCCGGCUAACUACGUGCCAGCAGCCGCGGUAAUACGUAGGGGGCAAGCGUUAUCCGGAUUUACUGGGUGUAAAGGGAGCGUAGACGGGAUGGCAAGUCUGAUGUGAAAGGCGGGGGCUCAACCCCUGGACUGCAUUGGAAACUGCCAGCCUAGAGUACCGGAGGGGUAAGCGGAAUUCCUAGUGUAGCGGUGAAAUGCGUAGAUAUUAGGAGGAACACCGGUGGCGAAGGCGGCUUACUGGACGGUAACUGACGUUGAGGCUCGAAAGCGUGGGGAGCAAACA